rnacentral:rRNA from 1 species
AUUGAACGCUGGCGGCAGGCCUAACACAUGCAAGUCGAACGAGUGGCGGACGGGUGAGUAAUGUCUGGGAAACUGCCUGAUGGAGGGGGAUAACUACUGGAAACGGUAGCUAAUACCGCAUACCAACCAAUGUACCAUGAGGGGAUGAGCUGGUUGGUGUGGUAACGGCUCACCAAGGCGAAGAUCCCUAGCUGGCCGGAGAGGAUGACCAGCCACACUGGAACUGAGACACGGCCCAGACUCCUACGGGAGGCAGCAGUGGGGAAUAUUGCGCAAUGGGCGCAAGCCUGAUGGAGCAAUGCCGCGUGUAUGAAGAAGGCUUUCGGGUCGUAAAGUACUUUCAGCGGGGAGGCGUUACCCAAAGAAGAAGCACCGGCUAACUCCGUGCCAGCAGCCGCGGUAAUAC